GCGGCGACUGUAGCGACUAUCUCGAUCUGCGGACUCUUAAUCCGUAGGUCGAGUGUUCGAGUCAUUCACGCCCCACCA
rnacentral:tRNA from 1 species